rnacentral:rRNA from 1 species
CCCUUAGAUGUCCUGGGCCGCACGCGCGCUACACUGAUGCAUGCAACGAGUUUCAUUUCUCCUGGGUCGAGAGGCCCGGGUAAUCUGUUGAACGUGCAUCGUGAUAGGGAUAGAUCAUUGCAAUUAUUGAUCUUGAACGAGGAAUUCCUAGUAAACGCGAGUCAUCAGCUCGCAUUGAUUACGUCCCUGCCCUUUGUACACACCGCCCGUCGCACCUACCGAUUGAAUGUUCCGGUGAGCUCUUCGGACUGCGCGGUCUGCAGUUUCUGCGUUCCGUGCGGAAAGUUGCGCAAACCUUAACAUUUAGAGGAAGGAGAAGUCGUAACA